UCGCUACGAGGGACGGCGCCGUUUACUGAAAUCACUGGACUGAAGCCGCUCAGGUUCUGCUUGUACGGUUUUGGAAAUUUGAUUAAAGUUGAUGGCGUGGACCACGUAA
rnacentral:rRNA from 1 species